rnacentral:rRNA from 1 species
UGGCGGACGGGUGAGUAUCGCGUAGGGAUUUAUCGUUGGGUGGGGGAUAACCGCGGGAAACUGCGGCUAAUACCGCAUGACGCCUGUGGGCCAAAGGUCUUCGGACUGCCUGAUGAGGAGCCUGCGUUCGAUUAGCUAGUUGGUUGGGUAAUGGCUGACCAAGGCGAUGAUCGAUAGCUGGUCUGAGAGGAUGAUCAGCCACACUGGGACUGAGACACGGCCCAGACUCCUACGGGAGGCAGCAGUGGGGAAUAUUGGACAAUGGGCGCAAGCCUGAUCCAGCAAUGCCGCGUGGAUGAAGAAGGUCUUCGGAUUGUAAAGUCCUUUCGGCGGGGACGAUGAUGACGGUACCCGCAGAAGAAGCCCCGGCUAACUUCGUGCCAGCAGCCGCGGUAAUACGAAGGGGGCUAGCGUUGCUCGGAAUGACUGGGCGUAAAGGGCGCGUAGGCGGAUGUUUUAGUCAGGCGUGAAAUUCCUGGGCUUAACCUGGGGGCUGCGUUUGAUAC